rnacentral:tRNA from 1 species
ACCAAUAGACGACUUUAAGUGUUCACACAGUUUGUUUGAUGAUUGUAGGCAAUCGAAGAACAAAAGCAAAAGUGCAAGGAUAGUAUCUUUACAUGUUGUCCCCAUCGUCUAGAGGCCUAGGACAUCGCCCUUUCACGGCGGUAACCGGGGUUCGAAUCCCCGUGGGGACGCCAUUUAAAGAUGAUUAUCCGUCUUAUCUGUUCUUUAAAAAUCCGGAAACAAGCUGAAAACGAGACUUUCAAGGAAGUCUGAG